CUUCUUCUUCUUCUUCUUUUGCGCCUUCUUAGAAGCACCCUGACCUAAUAAAAAAUGUAUGCAUUGAGCAAGGAAAAUUAUGGGGAGCCCACAAGCCAGAAUGGAAGGGAAAAAUCAAGCAAGGCCGUUACUUGUCAGGCCAUAGAGCCUGAGGAAUUCUGUCAAGGUACGACAUUCUUCCGCAAAUGGUAUCAACGCUUGCACCCACGACCUAAUGUCAUCAAUCCUUCGAGGAGGGCGAUCUGCCACUACAUAAAGGUAAAAAGAAAUCUACAGUGGUUAAAGCCAACGAAAAUAAGAUUGCCAUAAAAAAUGAGUGUAGGAAUGCUUACAUGUUUCGUUUUACGCCUCCGGAAACCCUUCGGGGUUAGACACCAGGUGUUCAGUACGCACAUAAAAAAAUUUCUUCCAAAAUUUAUGACUGGCCUGUCGUCAACUUGCACCACAAGACUCUUCUUGCCCUGACGUACUAACUGGAGCAUGGUUCCUCUCAUGAAACUCACGUUGAACAUUUGCAAGAGGUGGUGAACGGAGACCUCCCUCUCAGCCUUAACCGUGUAGAUGGUAAAAAUCCUACACGCCUUCAACACAUACGGGGUAAGUUGGGCCGGACACACCCCGUACAGACGACAAAGCUCCUCCGCCAGAGGAUUGAGCGGGAAGCUAUACCCGAUCCGAAAAGCAUACUCGUAGAAUGUGCAGUAUCUAGUCCUGUGCACAUUAGCAUAGUCCAUCCUGGCGGGAGCCAUCUCCACGUAAUGAGGAAUAUCAUACGACUUCCUGAGAUCAGUCAAGUGGGAUGGCAUCAGCUUGUUGAGUUCCCAAGGAGGAAGUUUACAUUUGUUCUUAAAACCUUCCGUGUACCCAUGUCCAGUGGGAGUAUGUUGGCCGUUGAUAGAGGAACGAGAACCUUUUUGGCUUCCCCAUCAUCUAAAGACGACGAAACCCUAGAAGGGGCAUCAUCCUUGAUCCUGGUACUAUCGCGGUGACGCUUAACCAUGAUGGAAGUUAUAAGAGAAAGGCGCUUCGGGGACACCAGGUUCGAUUACUAGGAACGAAAGUUUUAAAAGAAAAAGACGAGGAAAAGAUUGAGAAAAUACUCUCUGAAAAAGUUCAAAAGAUGAAUUUGGUUCAACCUCCCCUCUAUUUGUAAGAAAAGGCACACGCAAAUCGAAAAGGCAUGAUAUGAAAACCGGCGCGGAAAACCAAAACGUCACGUCAUGGGCUAAACCGCCUCGGGAGAAAAAGUAAUGAUCACGCACGUGAUCGAUGAUGUCAUCCUAAAAAGGAGCUCUAAAAGGAGGUUAUAUGUCAACAGCAUAACACCUUCGCAUAUGAUCACGCCCUUUUCCACAGUAUCUACAGGUACGGCCAAAUUUCUAGAAAGGUCGAGCACGUAUGUCCGUUCGUUGAAGACGUCCCCAACAAACGAAGGGACUAUCUGUAUUGGGCAUAUUUGGUUCCUUAUGUUCUCAUAUUAUCGACGCACGCCCUUGACGAAGAGAGUGGCCUAAUUGAGGCCGACUAGAGUAAGGUCGGCCCCAACAAGUAGACGGACCGAGUGACAUGACUCGAGACAACGUUGUUUGAAGCUCUGACUCUCCCGUAUUCUGAGACCACCAACCCUUGUACUUUUCUUUGAUUAUUUCGAGGAAUGUCCCUUAAUAUAUAAAGGGGACCUUCUCUUUGUAAAGGCUUAGGUGUAUUUUGCUAUUAAGAAUAUACAACUCUUUCUCUCUCUCUCUUGUGCAAAGAUUGUUACUUGUUCUAUUGUUCUUACAUCUCAACAUAUCUACACUAUUAUCACCAAUCUUAGCUACCCGAUAUUCUCUAGUUCAUAUUACGCUUGAUUCCGAUUAACCCUUAUUAUUUUCGAUUGUUGUUGAGCCUAAUAAGUAUUUACAUAACUUUAUAGCCAAACAGAUUUGUUUGAUGAAUAAUGCUCUCCUCUGUGCAAAACUAGGAACAAAAUGGAAAAAGUUAUAAAUUUAGAUAAAUUUUAUCAAUUACUAAUAUGUUGAAUUGAAUCGAGAAUGCACUUUUUGUCGCCAAUCUCAUUCUAGCUUAAACAAUUGAGAUUAUGCAAGAAAAUAUAGGGACUUGUAGUUAUGAAAAACUAGUAAUUAUAAAAUAACUUAAUACUAUUUCAAAUAGUCUUAGGAUGUGAUUGGUAUAACGAAAAAUAUUUUUCCAAGAAAAUAUUUUUUUAGUAAAAUAAGUAGUAAUUUAAUUCAUUUUUCGGUGUUUGGCAUGCAUAUUAAGCAAAAUGGUUUCUCAAGAGUAUUAAUAAAUAAUUUAGAUAUAAUAAACAUAAAGCCAUAAACUUUCAAACCAACAACCUUCCGAACCCACAAAUUUCAUAAACUUUCGAACCGCUAAACUUUCGAACCGGGGAAUUUCGAACACGUAAACUUUACAAUUUCUAAACCCGUAAACUUUCAAACUCACAAAACUUCGAACUCAUAACUUUGGAACUUGUAAAACUUUGAACCUUUAAACUUAUAGAUAGAAAAACUAAAAGUGAAAAAUUUAGUUAAAAAUAUUUUCUUCCGAGGGAAGAGGGGUGAGGUGGGUAUGGCGGAGGAUGAGUAGUAUGGGUGGUAACGGAAAAAUUAAAAUUUUAAGAAAAAAACCUUUUUUUGGAGAGAGGGGGUGAGGUGGGUUGGUGAGAGUGUAGAAGGUUGAGAAAGAAUUUUGGAAAAUAUUUUCUUUUCUCUUGAUAAGGAAAAUAUUUUCCUCCAAUUGAAGGAAAAUGAGUUCAUAAGAGAAAUAUUUUCCAAAACAUUUAAGCCAACCAAACAUGGAAAUAUUAGAAAAUAUUUUUCAAAAAUAUUUUAUUUUCUCUUGAUAAGGAAAAUAUUUUCCUCCAAUUAAAAGAAAAUAUUUUUUAUGAUCAAAAUUGACCUACAGAAAGCUUAUGAUUCAGUCGAAUGGUGUUAUUUGCAGCAGGUUAUGAAAGCUCUGUAUUUUCCUACCAGAUUUACAAGAUGGAUCAUGGAGUGUGUCCAAACUAUCAGCUAUGCAGUGGUUGUCAAUGGGGAAACAACAGAACCUUUUCAAGCAGCCAAAGGAUUGAGACAAGGGGAUCCCAUAUCUCCUUUUCUGUUUGCUAUUGUGAUGGAAUACCUUAGUCGUUCUCUGGUUGAGCUGAGGCAAGCUAAAGGCUUCACAUUUCAUCCUGGUUGUAAAAAACUGGGAAUAACUCACUUAAGCAUUGCUAAUGACCUAUUGCUGUUUGUCAAAGGAGAACCUCAAUCUGUAAGUACCAUGUUUACAUAUUUCUCUCAGUUCACUGCAGCCUCUGGUAUGAAAGCCAACUUGCAUAAGAGUGCUGUCUAUUUUGGAGGGGUAAAGCCUGGGGAUCAAUAGCAUAUUAUUGAUCUUCUUGGGUAUGUACGUGGAGAACUUCCUUUUAAAUACUUGGGAGUACCUUUGGCUACCAAGAAGCUGACUGUUUUUUAAUGGCAACCACUGGUCGACAAGAUUACUGCCAGGAUUACAUCCUGGACUGCUCGGCAGCUAUCAUAUGCUGGUAGAAUCCAGUUGGUACAAUCAGUUAUUUUUGGUAUUCAAGCUUAUUGGGCUCAACUAUUCCUAAUACCUUCCAAAGUUAUAAAACUGCUUGAGGCAAUAUGUAGAUCCUACAUAUGGUCUGGCUCAGUUAAUGUAUCAAGGAAAGCAUAUGUGGCUUGGGAUAUGUAGAUCCUACAUAUGGUCUGGCUUAGUUAAUGUAUCAAGGAAUGCAUAUGUGGCUUGGGAAAAAAUCUGUCUGCCUAAGUCUGCUGGAGGAUUGAACUUGACCAAUCUAUUACUGUGGAACAAGGUUGCUGUUGCCAAACUCAGUUGGGAUAUGGCACACAAGAAGGAUGCAUUAUGGGUGAAAUGGGUUCACACAGUCUAUAUCAAACAAAAACAGUUGGAGACCAUCACUGUACCUAAACAAGCUAGUUGGAUGGUCCGGAAGAUCAUUGAAGGCACUGUGCUAUUGCAGCAACACCAACUGUUGUAUAAACCUGAUUGCACUAUAAGAUUGCUCUACUUACAACACAUUGGAGAGGCACCUAGAGUCCUUUGGAAGAACUUAACAAUGCAGAAUGCUGCUCGACCUAAACAAUCUUCAACCUGUGGCUGUUAUUACAAGACAGACUGCCUACCAAAGAUAGGUUGAUUAAAUGGAAUCUGAAUGUGCCAGAUACUUGUGUUAUGUGUCAACAAGCUGUGGAAACCAGAGAACACCUAUUCCUGGACUGCACCUUUGCAUACCAGCUGAGAUAUCACACAUUGCAAUGGAUUGGAGCUAAGCAACCUACUGGACAGAACUGGUCUCAAUUUGUCCACUGGUUCAUUGAGCGGUCUAAAGGGAAUCUCCUCGAGCUCAUAUAGUCAAAAUGACCUUGACAGAAAUGUUCUAUGUCCUAUGGCUAGAAAGGAAUGCGAGAAUAUUUGGAAACACAUAUUGUAACAGUGAUAAACUGCUUAGAAGUAUUGCUUAUAGUUGUAAUGUUAGAGCUCCUCCUAGGCUAAGAGUAUACCUUCAGCAUUAUUUACUAUACAUGCUGAAUUUUUGGACAGUAUAGGUUAGUCAUUUUGGCCUGUUUUUUUUAUAGACAGCUGAGUAUAAAUCUGUGCUAUGGAUUUUUCAUUUUGGCCCCUUUUUUUGAUAGACAGUUGAGUAUAAAGCUGUGCUAUGGAUUUGUAUGACAAACACUUUGGUGAUUAAUACAAAGUUUAAUUACCAAAAAAAAAGGAAAAUAUUUUUUCAAAACAUUAAACCAACCAAACAUGGGAAAAUUUGAAAAUAUUUUUAGAAAAAUAUUUUCGUUUAUACCAAACACACCCUUAACGGUAAGAAUUUUUACAUUCAUGUCCAAUUUGUUUAGUGAGAUUAAAUUUCAUAAAUAGGUGUAUAGAUAUAUCUCUCUUUGUUAUAUAUUUUAUGAAUGAAAAUUAUUUAGAGAUUAAAAAUUAUUUUUUUAAAAAAGAAUUAGUAGUUUUCUCACUAUUCUUCUCAUACUUAGUUGGUAUACACAAAAUAAAAAAUAAAAAAUAAAAAAUAAAAAAUAAAAAAUAAAAAAUACUUACUAAAUAGUGUCAGAAAAUUAGUUGGCUAAAAUUUUGAGUAUUAACAAUUAAUAAUAAUAUCUAGCUGGAUGUUGGCUGAGACAAAUGAUAUGGAGUAAAAGUCGGAAUACCUAUAAAGAAAUAUGAGUCGGCACAUAAGUAAGUGAAGUCUUUUGACCUCUUUUGGUGAAAUUUUUCUGAUAAUAAAGCUAUAAAAAAUAACCUCUUUAGGAAGAAUAUAUUGCGAAAUAUAUUUCCAUCGUACUUGUCUCGAAGCAUACUGUAUUAUAAUCUUGUGUUUGCUCACAUUUCUCAAAAGAAAGCAUCAGUGUGUAUGUCAUAGUUCCUUGUCAUUUUUACCAAUUAAAAGUAUGUGACGAGCUACAUCGACAUUCUUAGUUCCUUGUCAUACAUAAUUUGUUCAAUUUGUUGCAUGAGAUCUCAGAACGUAAUACCCACGUUAAAGUUCUUUCUCGUUUUUUUUUUAUCUGUCAUUAUUUUCAUUUUAAUUAUUUUAUAUUGAGGUCAGAAGCGGAUCCAAAAUUUUAAGUUUAUAGGUUUCUGUAGCAAUUUUAAAUUAAUAUACAAUAAUAACUGGGUUCACAAAUAAAUUUUUAUAGAUAUUUAAUAAUUUUUUUAAUAAAAAUAUAGAGUCUACGCAAAAGUUAGUGGGUUCCCGAAAACCCGUAUUUAACACUCUGGAUCCGCCCCUGAUUGAGGUAAGAUAAUGCAAUGUGUAGUAUGGAAUAGAAUGAAGAAGGGGAAGAGCAACGAGUGAGGACUGAUGAGGAUUAGAAUGAUAUAUGAAUAAACUCACUUAUUUAUUUUUUAAGUUUUAUAUGUUUUAAAAUUAUUUAAUAGCUUAAACAAAUCUUAACCACCAAUAUUGGACAGUUGACAAUAUCUUCAAGUCUAUUGAGAAUUACUGAAAAUAAUAAAAACACAUUAAGUUUAAGUUUUAUGUAGUGAAAUAAACGAUAUGAACCUUUAAGAUAUUUUUUUUUUAAAAGAUGUAUGUAUCUAUAUAAGUGAAUGUAUAGGGUAAAAAUCAGCGGUUCGAUUUUAUGAUCAUCAAGGCGCCUCGUAGUGGCUGCCCCCAGAUGAAGACUCGAAGCUCAGCUCGGGGCGACCUCGAGGGUUCCCAGUGAUCGACCUCAAGGUUUAUCGAUGAUCGACUUCGAGGUAGCGUAAGCAACGAUCGGCCUCGAGGCAGUGUAAAUCAGCGGCUACGGUAAAUCGAUGUGAGGUUCCCAAGGUACAUGAUUAGAGCUAACAAAGUCUAUUAGGCUAGUCCAAACCCUAUCAUGGCAUUAAAUGGUUGUACCAGCUCUAUAUCUUUGUAAUAAAUGCAUUUGUACUAUGUUGGGAUUCCCCUCAUAUAUAAAAGAGAUCCUUGCCAUUUUGUAGGGGGUCUUAUACACAAUAUUGAAUACACAAGAAUCUCUUUGCUCUCUAAUACAUUCUCUCUUGACUCCCCUUUAUCUACAUUAUUCCUUGCAUUCAUUGUGUUCUAUUUAUUAUUUUUCAGUUAUUACUCAUCAUUGGCCAUAAAGAGCCGCCAUCAAAUUUAUCAUAACUGUUAAUCCUCCAUCGACUGCCCUUAGUCGGGCAUCCGACUCGACCUCGAGGCCCAGGAUACGCAAGCCCGAGGCCCCAAUUUCCAUCCAUUUGGUUUGAUUAUUGCACUAUCUAUAAGCUAAUGUAUUAUUUUUCCAAUCCUUCACUUAGCAUCUAUUUCCUAACAACUACCAUAAACAUAGAUCACAUAUUUUUAGAACUACAAAAUCAAAUGUGAUUGUUAUUACUAUUUUUACGGUAAAUAGUUUGGCGCCUACCAUGGGGCUAAAAAAUAAUAGUGAUUGUUUUCUUGCUGGUUUACUACAUAACACAACUUAUCUUUCACGCUUUUUCUUGUCCAAGAAUCUUUGAUUUCAGGUCAAAAUGUAUAACUCAGUAAAUGCAUAUGAGAACAACGUUCUUGAGGACCAUGGAUAGAAUGGUAUAGCUGUUCCAGGUGUUGGCGCACCACUGCUGAACCCUGAAGGCGUGCUGGAGCCAAUCCAUAUAGAUGUCGUCUCACACGAUGCCCAACACGUAGAUAUAAGCUUCCACACUAACAGGAGCAUACGCCAAGGAGACCAACAAAAAUAUGAGGAACCCCAACUAGGGAAGAACGAGAGGUUAGCCUUCACGUUAUUUUUGAAAUGUUACAGGCACAAUAGCUGGCAAUUACUCAGCUACAAAGCCAUCAAAAAACUCCAAGUAAGGUGGCACCGGAACGACUCCCCAAGCCGAGCAGGUACCAGAAAGAUCAAGCAACAAUGGGUCGGCAGCCGACCCCGCCAUCAUAAAGAUGCUCGAGGACCUCAGAAAGAGGAUCGAGUCGGGCGAAAAGAAGAUAGAAGCCAACGACAAGAAGGUAGACACCUACAAUUCCAGGUUCGACCAAAUUCCCGGCGCACCCCCAAUCCCGAAGGGUGUGGAUUCGAAGAAGUUCGUAUAGAAGCCGUUCCCAUAAGAAACGGCUCGAAAACCCAUUCCAAAUAAGUUCAAAAUGCUAGACCUUUUGAAGUACAACAGAACCUCGGACCCCAAUGAGCACGUCACUGCUUACACUUGUGCGGUAAAGGGCAAUGACCUAAAGGACGACGAGAUCGAAUCUGUCCUACUGAAAAAGUUAGGAGAGACACUUUCAAAAGGGGCAAUGAUGUGGUAUCACAACCUAGCCCCAAACUCGAUAAUUCCUUCGCCAUGCUGGCAGAUUCCUUCAUAAAGGCACAUGCUGGUUCCAUUAAGGUAGCAACAAGAAAAUCCGACAUCUUCAAAAUAAAGCAAUGGGAGAAGGAGAUACUACGAGAGUAUGUAUCUUGCUUUCAAAUAGAACGAAUGGAACUUACACCAGUCUCCAUCAAAUGGGAAGUGCAUGCCUUCACUUAAGGUUUGAACGAACGAAGCUCGACGGCUUCGAAAUAGCUGAAGCAGAAUUUGGUUGAAUACUCCACUGUGACUUGGUCGAAUGUUCACAACCGAUAUCAAUCGAAGAUCAAGGUCGAGGAAAACCAGAUAGGAGCCCCCUUGGGCUUGGUAUACCCAACCAGACUUCUGGCAAAUGAGCCAAAGGCAAACAAAGAAAGGUAGCAGCCAUACACUGAGGACAGGAGAAACACCCCGGGGCGUAACAUACCCUGAAAUGAUAGAAGAACAGAGCGAGGAUACAACCCUCGAGGACUCAUGAAUAUAGUUUAAUCGAAUAGGUACACAGGACAGACGGAGCCCGUUGGAAUACAACUUCAAUGUUGACAUGUUGGGCAUCCUAUCUGCCAUUGGCAAAAUCAGAGAUGUUAUGUGGCCAAGGCCCGUACAAUCAGAUCCGUCGAAAAAGAACCAGAACUUAGUGUGUGAAUUCCACGGCACUUACGGUCACAAGACCGAAGACUGAAGACAGCUCGGAGAAGAAUUAGCCCGACUACUCAACAAAGGACACCUCCAAGAGUUCCUCAGUUGUCAAGCCAAAAAUUAAUUCUAGGAAAGAGAGGCGAACAGGAAGAAUGAAAUAGAUGAGCCACAACAUGUCAUCCACAUGAUCAGGGGAGGAAUCAACGUCCCACAGGAACCUACUAUCAGAAAAACAAAAAUAUCCAUUACCAGAGAAAAGCGGACUCGAGGUUACAUACCGGAGGACUCCCUCACAUUUAACAACGAGGAUAUCGGGACCCUGUCUCAGCCUCAUAACGACACAUUGGUAAUUUCUUUUCUUGUGAGUGCUGUCACGCCCCCUUUCCUCCCGCAUAAAUCAGGUUUUAUGACAUUUUAGUAUGGAAAAACUCGCUCUUUUUGGGAAAGAGGGCUUGCAGUUUGAAGAGUUGCCACAUAAUAAUUUUAAGGUGCAUUAGGGCACCUAUAUGGUUCAUUUAUAACUACAUUUGGUAACUACAGAUCGGGUAAGAGCUUGAAAUUAUCCCAAGGGGAAGGUGUUAGGCACCCCUUAGGAUCCACUAGUGUGGUUCCCGGCCAAACAACUUUUCUAAAUUUGUACAAUUAGAAAAUAAACAAGUAUGACUCAAAUAAUAGGGGAUUAAGUUUAAGAACACAGAUGUUCGCAAAACAAUUAAUGAAAAGCAAAUAAUUACAAUCUAUGUACAUUUGUGAAUGUAAAAGGGGAGGGGGUGUCCUAGGUUUGUUUGUAAUAUGGAUCAUAUCAAUUCAAUACCCGGUAAAACACUCCUCAAAGAGGGGUUACACAUGGUAUAUCGAUAAUCAUAUCCAUAACUAACCUUUCUCGCCCUGUGAAGGUAAUUAAAGUGAGGGUUGGUCUCGAUCCCAAUUUCAUGUUGUUACCCAUCCCUUCCUUUAAGUCCCGGAGGAAUUUAGGACUCAUAUCCUAUAAGAGGGGGUCCUAGGUAGACCCUUAGGUUUAAAGUCAAAAUACUCGGCGACAUGCAAGAACACAUAGGACUGCAUUUAAGGGGAAAACAAAGAAGGCUCAGAUAUACCUCCACAGCAAAUGCACAUAGGCAACAUGACUCAUAGUAGAUAAGGUCCACAUUCAGAUCCUAACAAGGUAUUUGAGUGAUAAUAGCAGAACCAUAUUUAUUAUAUGACUCAGAUAAGAAGUCUGAAUCAGGCUUGCCUAUUGAUUUUAACAGUUGAUAGUUAAACACUGAUUAUAGAGAUGGUUCUGGUUUUAUUUAAGCUAUUACCUAAGGCUUGACUAGGCGUAAAGUAAUAUGUUGCAGUUAUUCAGAGUUAUUAAAAUAGUGUGGAGGUUGUUUUUCCUAAGACAUGCUGUUCUAAAUAUUGCAAAGACAUGCAGGGAUUAUUACUAGUUUGUUUAAAGUAGGAUGACACUGUUGAUACUCCUUUUAAUGCAUCAAUAGUCUUAAGCGGAGUUGAAUGAAGAUGAACGAGAACCUAAUCAUGAUAUCUAAUGAUUUAUAUGCAGGAUCCUAAAGAAGGAUUUCUAAAUGCAUUACAUGAUUGCAGAAUUUCCUAAGAGCAAGAUUUCUAAGUGCACAACAUGAUUGCAGAAUUUCUUAAGAGCUGGAAUUUAAAUGAAAUUUUAGAACAUGUUUAUGUGGAAGAAUCACAUCAUAGUAGUUUAUUUUAUUGUUAUUAUCUACCCUAUAGACAUGAUUUCUAAGUGUGGAUGAGAUGCUGAAAACAAUACAUAUAAGUCCUAAAUAACAUGAUAUGGCAUGCUUGGCAUGUUGUACCUAAAUAUGGCUGCUAUUGCACGUAGAGAAACGUAAACCUAAGAACAUGAUUUCUACCCUGGAUUAUACUACAACAUACAUAUUCCCACCCAUUUCACUAUCCAACCCCACUGUUUGUUUACAAAUUAUUACAGACCCAUAUUGAAUGAAUUACAUAAGCAUGAAAGAAAGAUAACAGUUACACCAUAGAAAGCCUGAUUAGGACUUCCUCCCUGAGUUAUGUAAUAAAUUAAUUCAAGUUCAAAGAUUGUUUCAUAGAUUUUCCUCAUAUCUGGGUGUGUCAUAGUUCCCUAAGGACCUCAAGAGAUCCCGGAUAGUGCUCACACACAGAUUUUAUAGCCAAUAUAGAGUAAGUGUAUGUGUCGAAAGGCCAACUUUUUAUGCGUCAAAGUUAAGAGGGAGCUCAAGGUUCCCAAGGCAAGGCUAAAAAGGGGCAGAACCUAGUGGUCUAAGAGUAUAGUGAAAGUGCAUGAUACAUGUUUGAAAGGAGUUUGUUUAAAAAACUGGACUGAAAGGUCCAUUUUGAAAGCAAUUUGUAAUAGAGAUGGUUGAAAAAAGAUGGAGGAGUAAAUAAAACUCAAACACCUUAAGAUUACGAUCACACAAUAAAUCCUAAAUGAAUUCAGUAGUCACACAAGGAGUCAAGGGGUUUGCGGAUGCACAUGCAGUUGACUGUAAUCUCAUAACCCAGCAAGGGUCUUAGGACUGGUUCAGACAUGCUCAGCAAUAGUUGAUACUCACAUAAUCAAAAACCAGUUAUAAAGAACACGAACACAUGGAAGGGAUAGGGAUUUAGGAUUCAUAAGAUGGUAAGUACACAGUAAGUGAUUGACAAUGCACGCUUUGAAAUAUACAUAAGGGAAUGCAUUAAUCUAAAAGUAAGGGGAGACAAAAUAGCAGCUAGUAAUGUAACUCAACUACAGGUUUCACAACAGAACCACAACUAGAAGCAGACUAAAAAUAAGAGAAACUGAAACAAUAAGAGAAACAUGUUGUUGUUAAGGCUUUAAAAUUAAACUAGGGCAUAUCGGUUAAGGAAGCAAAGUGCAGAAAGGUAAAGCAAGUAGAGUUCCACAGUCUAGCCUUGGCUUUCAGCCGGCUAGACAAGCAGUUAACACAAGUAGCAGAGAGAGAGGAGAGAGUUUUUUGUGUGUAUGUUUUCUUUGAACUAAUUGUUCGUCUCCUAUGCUAAGGAGAUGGUAAAGUAUUUAUAGUUUGAGAACAGGCAGGAAAAUAAGGUAAUAAGUACUGACUUAGCACCUUUAUAAAAAUAAUACAAAUCAGAAUCAAUUAAAGACCCGGACUUCCUUUGAUUAGGGAGCCAUAGUUCAAACGGGUACAAGUUGUAUCAAAUAAGGAAAAUAAUUACUUGAAAGACUGAUUUUACCAUAAUAGGAGUAGCAAAAGCAUGUAGCAUGUAAUAAGGACUAAGUACAGAAUAUUUUCAAAAUAAGGAAAGUACACAUUAAUUGACAGCAUAUUUGUGCACAUAAACAAGGUAGAGUGCAAUUUGAUUCUGAAAAUUAGUUCAAAGAAUCAUGAAUGAGAUUAAAAAUCACAGGGAAUCAACAAUAAUUAAGGAAAGUAUCACAAAAGUAAGGAAGCAAUUUCAAAAAACCAAAUAUAUAAUUACAAGAAAAAUACACAGAAUCCCAGAUGCAGGUUAAGGAGACUACACAAAAUCACCAUAAAUUAUGUGAACAAUAAGACAAAUAGUCAAACGUGUUAAAUGAUAAAUAACACAUGUUUGGACAAAAUCAUAGAAAACAUAAGAACAAAUUAGAGCAGGAAGCACAAGAACAUACAUGAAACCUAGAAAGUUCAUGAGGGACAUGCAAACAUAUCGCAAACAGGCUCAAACUUCGACUCGAACUAAGAAGUAUUAAGGUUUCUUAACAAAAAAGAAUCUAGCAAAAGGAAAGACCCGGGUGAUGUUCAAACAUGCUAAAAAUCAAAGUAAUUGCUAGAAUCAUAAAGAAAUCAUUUUUGCAAAAAGGGUUUUGAAACCCUAGUCUGAAAAAUGAAGAAAUUGUUUGACAUCGGAGAAAUAUUUUGAGGAAAAUAGGGGAAAACCUUAAAAAACCCAUAGAUCCAUCACAGUUCUAAAAAGAUUGGAGGAUUUAUAGCUAGGUUGUUUUUCCAGAAAAUAGCAGAGAUGAAGAAAACAAUCGGUUAAUACUCAUGGAUGCACCUAGAUCUAAGACAGAUCUAAAGAAAAGUGAAAAAUCUCAAGAGUUAGGAUUUUAGAGAACCCAAAGAAGAUGAGAGGACUUUAAGAUUUUACCAAUUUUAGCCGGAAAAGUCAUGGAUCUGACUCGAAUAGCCAUGGAUGGCCAGAAAAUGGCAUAAAAGACCAUGGAUAGGAGUUAAACAAUAUCUGGACUAGAUCUCUUCGAGAUCUUUCCACGAAAUCCCAAAAACGAGCAACCAGGAGACAUAGUAUAGAAGUAUACGUCUCAAAUAGCCAUGAGAAUCCAUGGAUCGAGUGAGUAUCGAAGGGAAUAUGGUUGGUUUGGGUGGCGGCGGCUAGGGUUUGGUCUAGGUCACAUAGAGAAUUGGAGAGGAAAGGGGAUUCUAGGGCGAUUGUUUGGAAACAAAUGAAUUAGACUUGGGGGUCGUUUGGGUUAAUAAUGUAAGAAUGAACGGUGGACAUUGAUCUCUAUGAUCAACGGCUAUGAUGAGAAGAGGUUUGGGUCGGGUAGGAUUUUAAAUGGGUUAGAUUCAGGUUUUUAAUUCGAAAUUGGGUUGGGAUUGGGGUUUGAUUUGGGCCACAAUUGAAAGUCAAUCUGGCUAUAUUUAAAUAGCCACUUUUCCCUAUUUGAUUUAUAAAAUAGUAAAUACUUUCUGAAAAGAUAAUUUAUAAUAUAUAAUUAACAAUUUAAAAAUACAGGAUCCAAUUUUUUGCAUAUGAAACAUAAUUAAAUCUUAAAAGGGCUAAUAUUUUAAUUAUGUGCAAUUUAGCUUAAAAUAUUAAAUGUAAUUGUAAAAAUAUGUAAAAAUUACCUUAGCCAUAUUUUAGCAUAAAUAUAAAAAUUCAAAAGAUGAAUUAUCAAAAUAAUAAUUUUGAAAAUAAUAGUUGGGGAUUUUAUGGAUGAAAAGGGAGAAAAUAAAUCAAUUUAAAACCUUAAAAUUAUGAAAAAAAUAAUAAAAACUUUGGACAUGCUUACAUAUUCUAGUUUUAAAGGUAUUUUGCAUAUUGAAUAUACAUAAGAAAAAAUUAGGUAUCAACAACUGCCUCUCUUUCCCCUGUAAGGAUGAAAGAAAUUACGGGUAAACAAAUAAUGGCCAAUUUUUACCGAGCGUAACGGUUUGGGAAGAGGAUAUUACGCCGCACCCUGGUUUAUAAUUUUCCUACAUAUCCUUGGUUUUACAAAAAUCAAGUCGUUAAUAGUUCAGGAUCCAUCGACGGAGUAUACAGAUGAAGCCGUUUCAAGAACGGACACAAUAUCUAGGGCCAGGUGAGUGAAAGGUUUAUGGGAAUGAUUAGGUUUUGAUAUGGCUGCGGGAACUGGAGCGGGAUCGCUUCUGCCGGGAUGGACGUUGCUCGCUGUCUUAGCGGUAAAUAAGCAAUACAAACAUAUGUUGUGCGUAAAUUUAAACAUGAUCCAAAUUCCUGUUGGACCAUGAAUGUUGUCUUUGGACGAUAAGGAUGAUGUCCUAGGCUAUGAAGCGUAUAAUAAGGGAUUCGCAGGCCAUGAAAUGAUAUUCUCGGGCUAUGAAGAUGAUGCCUCUGAACCAUGACGCCUUUGAAUGAUAAUAUACAAAAAAUUGAAGGAGAUCCUCCGGCCAUGACAUAGUGUUCUCAGGCUAUGAAGAUGGUGCCUCCGAACGAUGAUGCCUUUGGAUGAGUUGACGAUAUUUCAAACCAUGAAGAAUGCAAUGGUAUGAUGCAGACAAGAUAGAGCUUAGUCAUAUGAAUUGAAGGGCAGAGCUUAGACCGUGAGAUAAAUAGUGCUUGAGAUAGAGCUUAGUUUCGAAGAAAAUUGGAGGCAGACCUUAGCCUCGGAAGGCAGAAUGAUAGCCUUAUGCAAAGAUGCGAAUACAAAUGGAGGUAGAGCUUAACCUCGGAAGGCACAAUGGUAGCCUUAUGCAGAAAUACAGAUAGCGACCUCGGUUAGUCUCGGAAGGCAGAAUAGUAGCCUAAUGUAGAAAUACAGAUGGAGACAACGUUUAGUCUCGGAAGGAAGAAUGAUAGCCUUAUGUAGAAAUGCAAAUGGAGACAACGUUUAGUCUCGAAAGGCAUAAUGGUAGCCUUAUGCAGACAGAGACAAUGUUUAGUCUUGGAAGGUAAAAUGGUAGCCUUAUGCAGAAAUGCAAAUGGCAAAUUCUACCAGCCUUAUGCAUAAAUGCAGAUGGAGACAACAUUUAGUCUCGGAAGGCAGAAUGGUAGCCUUAUUCAGAAAUGCAUAUGGAGACAACGUUUAGUCUUAGAAGGCAUAAUGGUAGCCUUAUGCAGAAAUAAGAUAACAACUGACAAUAAUGAUUUCGUAGCUGAUAGCAGAUCCCGGUGUUGUGAUUACUGGGAGCACUAUGACGUACGGAACGUCACUGGUGUGUGCUGAUAGCAAAUGCUGGCAAGUGCAACGGUUCUUAGAAUCGUAUUCUUGAACAAGGUUUGUUCCAUGGGCGUAAAAUAUGUUAAACAAUUUCGCAAUCCUAGUUCCUGCAUCUAAAGAAAAAUUGUGAGUUUUGUAAGGGGGGAGGUUAGUUCGUAUCCCCACUGGCUUUGCUUGACUCGUUCGUCUUUAAUGCGGUGAUGCCGUCUAUAUCAUUGGGGUAUCAUUUCUAAACAAAGCAUUUUCAAUAAUGAACAUGCAGGAUUUUGUAGAAGUAUGACAUAAAUGUAUAAUUAAAAAUAACUUUUAGAUGAACUGACGACUGUGAUGUAGCUCGGGACAUUGCAACCUCUCCUGAUACAAAAAUUUGAGGGUCCUCCUCAAAAUUCUGCCCCAGUUUGAUUGGUUGAUGCUUUAAAUGUUGCUCGUGCGACGAUCGGUUGAAAUUACUUCGGAAUUUUGAGGGUCCUCCUCAAAAUUCUGGCUCACUUUCCAAUUUCGGGGGAAAAUGAAUUUUUUAUUGAACUGUGACCGAACCUAAAGGGUACCUACGUAUCCCCUAUUAAACGGGAAUCAAGUCAGUGUAGUUCAAUUUACAUCAUAUAAGGAAAGCAUAAUGAUUACACAUAGUAAUGCUUGACUGCUGUCACACCUCUUUUUUUACACACUAACCCGGAAGGAUAAUGUAUAUGGGAGUUUUUCCAUUUUAAGUGACAUUAUACGAAUUGGGAUUAUUUAUUUAUUUAGAGUCGCCACUUGGGAUAGGUUUGGCUUUUCAUGUCCCAAGUCACCGGUUUAUCUUGAAUCCUGAAUUGAGGAAAAUUUCGACUUGCCGAGUGGUGUUUGCGAACUGAAAAUUCUAAGUAAGGAAUUCUGUUGACUCGAGGGAAUGUGUUAGGCACCCCCCGAUCUCGUGGUUCUAGCACGGUCGCUUAAACUACUAUAAAUGGCUAAAUAUCUGAUUUUAAUAUAUGUUUCAACUUAAAGUGCAAUUUAAAAUACUAACCGCUUUUAAAUUAAUAUUUAAGGAAUUUGAAACAUUGUUAAAACACGCCUCGAAGCACGUCACAUAAAUGCACCCGUGAUUUUUGACAUAUUCUGACGCCAUUGAGAUUUGGAUUUGGGUCACAUAAAUGUGCACCCGAGUUUAAGAAGGUAAUAUUAUUUAAGUGAUGGACCUAGAGCAACUAGCGUAUUAUUAACUUUGCGGAGACCAUGAAAUUCGCUAAAUGGCACGUCCCGAGGUCUAAAAUAUUUUUAAUAUAAUUCAGAGGGCCACGCAAUAUACGGUUUUUGUUUGGCGCGACGCACCGCAUUUAUUUUAAAAGGCCAUCCUAAAAGGGACUAUUAUUUUUUAAUAUGGAUUGUCUCUAAAAAACCUAAUUAAUAACAUUCAGGCCUUCGAUUCAAGUCCAAAUUCAAACAAGAGGGGAACCUCUUAAUUCCAAUGCACACUUAACUCGGAAGGCCCCAAAACAUGUAUUUACAAAUUAAUUUAGAAAAGAAAUUUUUACCUAUCUAUACCAUAUAGCAAACCUUAUUACCUCCCAUGUUUAAGGUUUUUGUUUAUUACAUUUAUGCAUACCAAAUUUCAAUUUAUGUAUCAUAAUUCAAAUUAAGGGUAUAAUUAUUGCUUCAUUUAUUCUAGGCAUGAUUUUAGGAGCAUAUAUUCCUUUUCCCUUUCUUUCCUCCUCCUCUCUUUCCUUAUGUUUCCUCCACCUUAAUAUAUGGAAAUCACUAUUAAAUUCAUUAGGUAUAUAAGUUACCAAAUAAUAAUAUUUUACAGUUAUGAAGACUUCUUGCGUUUUUAUGAAGGAUCAUCUUCAUAACGUACAACAACUGCUAAAUAAGAGACAUUUUCUUCUACAUGUUUUCCUUUUGUGUAGUGCCCAAAAAUAAAAGCCGCUCUAACAAAUAUAUGAACUUCGUCAGCUACGUUAAUGUGUUAGUUUUACUUCAAAUUGCUAAAUAAGAGACAUUUUUUUCUACUUGUUUUUCUUUUGUGUAGUGUCCAAAAAAAAAAAGCAUCUCUAACAAAUAUAUGAACUUUGUCAGUUACGUUAAUGUGUUAGUUUUGCUUCAAAAUUACACAACAAUGUUGUCAUUAAUAUAAAUGUAACAAUAUAAUUUUAUACAAUAUUAAACUGAUUUGUAGUUUAUUUGUAGAAAUUGUAUCUACAAACUAAAUACAUUGAAUUUUAAUAUUCCAAUUCUCAUUUCAGUUGUAGCAUAAUUGGCAUUUUCGACAUAAUUGUAGAACACUUGUAGAAGUUUUAGUCUUCCCGAUCUACAAUUUAUCUACAUCAUUUCAAUUGUAGCAUAAUUGAUAUUUUCGACAUAACUGUAGAAGACUUGUAGAAGUUUUCGUCUUCCCAAUCUACAAUUUAUAUAUAUUUUAUCAACAAUUUAUCUACAAUUCUACAAGUUAACUACAAUUUCUGGAAUAAUAUGUCUUCUUCUUCGACGAGUUUCAAUCUGAAAUUCAGUCAAAACCAAGUUUAAUCUUUACCAAAACCCCUCAAAAUUGAGAUAUAAACUCCUAAGCAUAUUUCGAAUUAUUUACAACAACANNNNNNNNNNNNNNNNNNNNNNNNNNNNNNNNNNNNNNNNNNNNNNNNNNNNNNNNNNNNNNNNNNNNNNNNNNNNNNNNNNNNNNNNNNNNNNNNNNNNNNNNNNNNNNNNNNNNNNNNNNNNNNNNNNNNNNNNNNNNNNNNNNNNNNNNNNNNNNNNNNNNNNNNNNNNNNNNNNNNNNNNNNNNNNNNNNNNNNNNNNNNNNNNNNNNNNNNNNNNNNNNNNNNNNNNNNNNNNNNNNNNNNNNNNNNNNNNNNNNNNNNNNNNNNNNNNNNNNNNNNNNNNNNNNNNNNNNNNNNNNNNNNNNNNNNNNNNNNNNNNNNNNNNNNNNNNNNNNNNNNNNNNNNNNNNNNNNNNNNNNNNNNNNNNNNNNNNNNNNNNNNNNNNNNNNNNNNNNNNNNNNNNNNNNNNNNNNNNNNNNNNNNNNNNNNNNNNNNNNNNNNNNNNNNNNNNNNNNNNNNNNNNNNNNNNNNNNNNNNNNNNNNNNNNNNNNNNNNNNNNNNNNNNNNNNUGAAAAUCCAAAUUUGAAUUUAAAGCUUUCAAGCUUUUUAAUGGCUAUCAAUGGUGGAAAAUAUAUGGAGAAGGAGAGAAUUACGAUGCAAUGGAUUUUCUUCCGUUUUAAAUUUCGAAUUAAUGGUGAUAGAAUCAAAUUAAAUCUGAUUGCUACAAAAUUGGCACUUUUUUAGGGUAGAAUUCACCUAUUUUUGGUUUGGUACAAUUUUUGUAAACAAACUAUGGUCNNNNNNNNNNNNNNNNNNNNNNNNNNNNNNNNNNNNNNNNNNNNNNNNNNNNNNNNNNNNNNNNNNNNNNNNNNNNNNNNNUAAACAAACUAUGGUCUAGGCGGGUAAAUACCAAAUAAUGAACAUUUUUGGUAAUAAGAUUUGCUAUAUGGUAUACAUAGGUAAAAAUCCCUUUAAAAAACAAUCAGCGUAAAUCCAAGCCCUUAGCAUUUUGGGCUUCGAACUUAGUCCAAGAGGAGACCCAACUCUGGCAGCCUCACGUUGGGCCCUAUAUAGAUAAUUCCAGGCCCAAAAUUAAUAUCUGUACUUAAUAAUUUGCACGUGCGUACCAGUCUCAAAUCCAAACACAUUUAUUCGAAUAUUAGCAGUCUCUAAUUGAAAUACUGAUGUUUGCCUUUUCAAACUCUUACAUGUCGAAUUUUAUACCUCAUUACAACGAAUCAUCUUAAUGAAACCAAAACAAACAUCCCAGCAUCUAAACGAGUCAGAUUUGAUUUUUAAUUUUUAAGCUCAGCUUCCUUUAUCUAUUUACAUAACUGUCGAGUUUCUGGAUGUUAACAAUAGUGCAAACUUCAUUCCUCAUCAAGGGCUAAAAGUGAAAACAUCAUUUAAACUUAGUAAAUUGAUUGUGAAUGUAAAUGCCAAGUAAGUCUACUAAAACUGUCCAAGUAUAUGACCUGAUGGAAGUUCGACUGUUAUGACCUCCAAAUCCUAACUAAUACUGCUAUUUAGUAUCCUAAGUAAUGAAUCAAUUUCAGCUAUGCAUAAACAGGUGGAUGUUCACAUCAGAGUAGAAAUAAAUCUAUGCUUAGACAAAUGUAUAUAUCAAUUAACAUCUACUCAACAAUUGACACAUAAAGAUUCAAUCGAGCAUAUCUCAGGAAGCCAAUUCAUUAUGAUGUUUUAUUUCAAUUCCAACUACGAAUCUACAUUGAGGCAAAUUCAAAAUGUGUACCUGGAGGUCAAAAAACAAACGGGAGAAAGGGUCAGCACAACAACAACAACAACCAGAAUUCAAUAAGCAACCACACGCUCGAACUCAACCCAGAAAUAGCUCCAACACAGCCCACGAAUUGAUCAGAGAGGAACAAAACCAGUAGAUAACCAAAAUCAACUCGCUUGAAACCAAAUUCAAAACUCGAAAUCAAACCAGGGAUUCUGAAGUUACAAGCAACCUAAGAACAUGUAUUUCAAGUCAUUUUUAUCUUUUCUAGGCUUGAAAUUCGAACUAAUAGCUGAAUUUAGAAACUAAUAUGGGAAAAAGCUUUGAUAAAAUAGUAUUUUUGGGAUUUUCUGAAGGUUUAAGAUCUAAAAAGAAAUUUCUAACUCUAGAUUUCAGAUUUGGGUUUUGGAAUUUGAAAGUGAAACUUUUAGAUGCUAAAACUUGUACAACACUUUUGGGGGGAAAUUUUCAGAUCUAAAAUUUGUGAAUGAAGGCACUAAGCAUGCCUUUUUAUAGGCA
rnacentral:lncRNA from 1 species